rnacentral:lncRNA from 1 species
GACAAAGAGCCCGAGAUGAGGGCCACCAACCGCGUGGGCUGAGAACUCUGCACAUGGGGUGCUGGACCGCAGACGUGGGAUUUGUAGUCCCGCCGAGUCCUGGCAGAGGGAGAGAAGCCUGUGCUAAACUGAUAACACUCACUAAGAAAGAGGCAAAAAAAGAGCUGAUAUGCAAGGACAGUGGAGGCAGUGGAGCUGUGGUGGCCUGAAGGCUUAGGAGAGCUGGGGGUGGCAAUUAGCUAGCUAAUGAGAGCCCAAGUUCCUGCUUCACAGCUGAAGAGAUCCUGAUGGCCUCAAAGGCUGUCCCAACAGCCCAUGCCUGCUCUCCCACCUGUUUGGGGUUUCUACAAAGCUCAGCGGGGCCUCCUCCUCAGCUCCCAGAGUGGAUCACGGGCAGCCAGUGCUUCUGACUAAAGAGGACCCAGUGCUUCUCCCCAGAUGUCUGCUCUCUGUCUGCUGCUAGGCUCUCAGGUAGCCCAGCUUGUCACCAGUGCCAAGUUUCCAAGCUCAGAGAGACAUGGCAACUGCCAUUGAAUUGCUGAAGAAGCUGGGAGCCUCUCGUAGCAGUGUCC